CCUUGUUGGAUCUGGCUCGCUCCUUCCCCGGAGGCCCAGUGAAAUUUUAUGAAACGGUCGAGAUUCCAGGGGCUGACAAAACCCUUGCUUGUCCUUUGAGAUGACUCCCUGAGGCCGGGCUUGCUGUGAAGCCCCAGCGGGGAGCUGCGGGAGCCCUGGCACCUCUCGAGGUCUCACUGCUGGGGAUCCCCGUGUCUGCAGCCAGACUACUCUGCCGCCACCGGCCACAGCCGCAGCGAGCGUCCUCCUUUCCCUAGUCUGGGUGCCUCACGCCGGCCUGCUCGGGGUGAACUGUCGGUCGGAGCUGCGGCUCUCGCAGGCAGUGUACGCCUGCUCUUUGGGGUCAGCGAUCACUAGGCUUGAGCUGCAUCCGGGGGAGUAGAUGUAAGUAAAUGCUUGUAGACUCCUGGCAAAUCCUAGUUAGAAAUCCCUACAACACCCACUUUUCUAUCUGCCUGCCAAACUCUUUUGCUUUGGGGCCUUACUAGCCUAAGUCUCCUUCCCAGCCCUCUAAUCCCUUGCUGUGUGUCUUUGGCUGAGUUUAUUAACCUCUCUGGGGCUCAGUUUUUUCAACUUUGAAAAGAGGGUAAAGAUCCCCUGCUCCUAAGACGUUGGCUCUCUCUCCCCUAUAACGGCUGCAUUCCUGAAAGAAAGCCGACCUGCGCUAAGAGCUGAGAGACAGUGGGAAGAGUGCAGCACUUGGGGUCUGACAGCCCCAAUGUGGACUUCUCAGCCUGCGGUUUGCGACCUUCCUCGGGGCGGACUCCUCUAACCCCGCCCCUUCCGAUGCUACGGGGUCGCCGGGGAACAAGGGAUUGUGGGAAAGAAACAGCCUAGGAACCCGGAAGGGGCUGUGUCCCUGGGAGAGGCUGUGGUCCGUGCUGCCCUCCCAGGGCCGUGGGACGGACGCCCCGCAGCCUCCGAGUCUGCUCCUCACAGCUCCCCCGCAGCUCCAUCUCGCUGACCCCAGCACCGUCGGGUUUUCCCGAGCCCAGGUUCUUUCCUUUCUCUGUAUCCUAUCCCAAGCAGAGUCUUCGGUCAACCUGCUUGCAGGAGCAGGGCCCCCCUAGUCAUCCUGUCCUUGGCCACUUAGGGCAGGGGCAAGUGCCUUGAGUGCCUCAUGAGUAAUUCUCCAAGGGUCACCGCACCUACUCCGAGGCCGCCGUGUCGAUUAAAGAUGCCAACAUCACGUGUGAAGGAGGUCGAGCCGCGUCUGGCACAUAAUGGAUCCAGCAGCUCAGGUCUUGGAAGAUGAACAGGGACAGCCCUGGCUUAUCUGACGCCUUGACAACAGUGCAGCAUGGUCGCUGAGCCUCAGGACAGAGGCAGGUAGCAUCUAGAGAUGGCCAGGCUAUCCCAGAUCAGCAUCUGCUCACUGCUAAGCUUCCAGACCCUUCUGCUGCUGGGCCAAAGUGACCUUGAAGUCAAAAAUGGCCUCGUGUAAUAUGUAGCACUUGUGACCUGUUUUUAAAAAUGCACCAUGAACUGUGCACCCUGUCAUUAAAUAUGCCUUUU